UUUAAGGGGGGACUUUUUUCACUACUACACUGCUAAACAGGUACAAUGGAGUACAUGCGUUAGUGGAGGUAUUGCACUGUGAAAAUGGAGAGAGAACAUUCCGAAACUGAAGCUGUAGCAGACGAUAAAAUUAAACAUGAUGACACAGAAGAACUUUUGCCGAAAAAAAGGAGUCACGUCCGUUGCCUGGAGAUACUUUGGUUUUAAAAGGUCAGAUAUGUGGACCAUUAUGUUCAAAUGUGUGAAUACUGUUUCUAUACUACUGGAUAAUACUGCAAACCAAGUUGUACUUGUUUUAUUAUUAU